UUACAACUCAUCAACCGGAAGGGAUUCCUUCCGGUUGAUGAGGUUGUUACACCUCAUCAACUGGAAGGGAUUCCUUCUGGUCGAUGAGGUGUAA
rnacentral:miRNA from 1 species